ensembl:lncRNA
CAGGAAGGAGGGAAGGAGGGAGUCAACAGCCCAGAGCCCAGCCGACUGAUGGAGCAGGGAAGGAGGGAAGGAGGGAGUCAACAGCCCAGAGCCCAGCCGACUGACGGUGCAGGAAGGAGGGAAGGAGGGAGUCAACAGCCCAGAGCCCAGCCGACUGACGGAGCAGGAAGGAGGGAAGGAGGGAGUCAACAGCCCAGAGCCCAGCCGACUGAUGGAGCAGAGAAGGAGGGAAGGAGAGAGUCAACAGCCCAGAGCCCAGCCGACUGAUGGAGCAGGAAGGAGGGAAGGAGAGAGUCAACAGCCCAGAGCCCAGCCGACUGAUGGAGCAGGAAGGAGGGAAGGAGAGAGUCAACAGCCCAGAGCCCAGCCGACUGAUGGAGCAGGAAGGAGGGAAGGAGAGAGUCAACAGCCCAGAGCCCAGCCGACUGAUGGAGCAGAGAAGGAGGAAGGAGAGAAGUCAACAGCCCAGAGCCCAGCUGACUGACGGAGCAGGGAAGGAGGGAGUCAACAGCCCAGAGCCCAGCUGACUGACGGAGCAGGGAAGGAGAGAGUCAACAGCCCAGGGCCCAGCUGACUGAUGGAGCAGAGAAGGAGUGAAGGAGAGAGUCAACAGCCCAGAGCCCAGCCGACUGAUGGAGCAGGAAGGAGGGAAGGAGAGAGUCAACAGCCCAGAGCCCAGCCGACUGAUGGAGCAGAGAAGGAGGAAGGAGAGAGUCAACAGCCCAGAGCCCAGCCGACUGAUGGAGCAGAGAAGGAGUGAAGGAGAGAGUCAACAGCCCAGAGCCCAGCCGACUGACGGAGCAGGGAAGGAGGGAGUCAACAGCCCAGAGCCCAGCUGACUGACGGAGCAGGGAAGGAGAGAGUCAACAGCCCAGGGCCCAGCUGACUGACGGAGCAGGAAGGAGUGAAGGAGGGAGUCAACAGCCCAGAGCCCAGCUGACUGACGGAGCAGAGAAGGAGGGAGUCAACAGCCCAGAGCCCAGCUGACUGACGGAGCAGAGAAGGAGGGAGUCAACAGCCCAGAGCCCAGCUGACUGACGGAGCAGGAAGGAGUGAAGGAGGGGGUCA